AUGCUUGGUUUCCUAAAUAAAACAAAGAUUAGGAUAUAUGUGUUGCAUUUACUCACUACAAAACUUAUGAUUAAAUAUAAACAUAAAAGUCUUUGUAACAGUCUUAAACAAAUUGAAGAUAUAACACAAGUUGCAACAAGCAGAGUUUUUAUUAUAAAAACUCCAUGUUGAACAAUGGUGUGUCUAAUCACGUCUUACAAAAAAUGGCAAUCAACACCAUAUAUAAUAUAUUUAUAAGAACAUGAAUAAAAAAAACAAAACUAACACUACCAUAAUAAUAAUCUGUAAAAUUUAACAAACGAGUUUUACAUCUAUUUCAGGUCACCAGAGUAUUCGUCAAGAAAUGUUGACGAGUGACAGCGAGGGCACUCGGAAAUGUCCAGCAAAAAUGUCACCUGAGAACGAAUAAAAUAUUUUAAAAUACUGUCAGAAUAAACGAUUCACUGGGAAAGGAAAUUUUGAAAUACUAACCCUAGGGUGUUGUUCACAAAAUAAACGGAUUCGUCCAUGACAAUAGUAACCACAAGCUCGACAGAAUACUAUCGUUUUCUCCCUGCGACAAGAACACUUCUUGCUGUAAACUUCGUUUACUUCUGGAAUACCUCUGCCUGUUCUCUUCCCAACUUUACAUAUAAUUCCAGCCGCAGCGGCUACUACUGGAGUAGUUCUAGAUUCCAUCUUAUUAAUAUUAAAAAUUUUGACUUUUAAAAAAUGGCUUUAUGAAUCUAAAUUUACAAUUUGAACGAUUUUAUAUCAUUACGCAAAUGAGUAUACAGUUUAGGUCUUUAUAUUUUAUGGCGGGUAUAUGCGUAUUGCCAACAUUAGGAAAAUAAAACAGUUCGAGGGUAUUAUCAAAACAAAGACAAUAGGAUAAUUAGAACAAGGUGCUAGGUGCAAACAACAUUAAUAAUAAAAUUAGCAAAGCAGGCUCUUACACAACGAUAUCUUGGCAAACAUAUACUUUUAAUAAAUUUUAGUUUUGCCGUAACAUUUCAGAGAUAGCAUCAGUGUAGGUUCGUACUUCGUAAGAAAUAUCUACCAGUCCACAAUCAUUGCGGGGUUUAUUGAAUUCGUUAUUAUAAAACAAUUUGGUCACAGCUAAUAAUAUAACAUAUAACACUCUUACCAGAUUAACGUGCAUUAUCUAAUAAAAAAAAAUUGUUAA